rnacentral:rRNA from 1 species
UCAAGCAAGAAAGAGCACAAGGAGAAUGCCUUGGCACUAGGAGCCGAUGAAAGACGUGGUAAGCUGCGAAAAGCUUCGGGGAGGCGCAAACAGCCAUCGAUCCGGAGAUAUCUGAAUGGGGAAACCUACUUGAGCAAACCUCAAGUAUCCAUACGUGAAUCCAUAGCGUAUGGAAGGGAACGCUGUGAACUGAAACAUCUAAGUAGCAGUAGGAGGAGAAAGAAAACUCGAUUUCCUAAGUAGCGGCGAGCGAACGGGAAAGAGGCCAAACCGAAGGACCUGGUUCUUCGGGGUUGCGGACUGCAAUUAGCAUUGCUGAGAGAUAGACGAAUGGUUUUGGGAAAGCCAGCCGUAGACGGUGAAAGCCCGGUAGACGAAAUCUUGAAGCAGCGAGCAGGAUCCAGAGUACCACGAGACACGAGAAACCUUGUGGGAAGCCGGGGGGACCACCCCCCAAGCCUAAAUACUCCCUAGUGACCGAUAGUGAAGCAGUACUGUGAAGGAAAGGUGAAAAGGACCCCGGGAGGGGAGUGAAAGAGAACCUGAAACCUUGUGCUUACAAACAGUCAAAGGCCUACGGGCUGAUGGCGUACUUUUUGUAGAACGGUCCGGCGAGUUACUAAUGCCAGCGAGGUUAAGAUGUCAGAAGCAUCGGAGCCGAAGGGAAACCAAGUCUGAAUAGGGCGUAGAGUUGGUAUUAGUAGACCCGAAACCGGGUGACCUAUCCAUGUCCAGGUUGAAGGAACCGUAAAAGGUUUUGGAGGACCGAACACACAUGUGUUGAAAAACGUGGUGAUGAGGUGUGGAUAGCGGAGAAAUUCCAAUCGAACUCGGAGAUAGCUGGUUCUCCUCGAAAUAGCUUUAGGGCUAGCCUCGAGCUGGAGUCUAACGGAGGUAAAGCACUGAACUGACGCGGGGCCCAAAAAGGUUACCAACUCAUAUCAAACUAAGAAUGCCGUCAAGAUACCCUCGGGAGUCAGUCUGCGUGAGAUAAGUCGCGUGGACAAAAGGGAAAGAGCCCAGACCGACAGCUAAGGUCCCAAAGUACGUGUUAAGUGGAAAAGGAUGUGGGAUUUCAUAGACAACUAGGAUGUUGGCUUAGAAGCAGCCAUACAUUUAAAGAGUGCGUAAUAGCUCACUAGUCGAGAAAACCUGCGCCGAAAAUGUAACGGGGCUAAAACACGACACCGAAGCUACGGAUUUCCUACAAGGUAGGAAGUGGUAGAGGAGCAUCCUGCAAGGACGAAGCCAAAGUGAGAGCGAUGGUGGACGAAACAGGAGAGAGAAUGCCGGAAUGAGUAGCGAGAUACAUGUGAGAAACAUGUAGGCCGAAUAUCUAAGGAUUCCUGGGUAAAGCUAAUCUUCCCAGGGUUAGUCGGGGCCUAAGGCGAGGACGAAAGUCGUAGUCGAUGGAUAACAGGUUGAUAUUCCUGUACUACACAUAAUCAGAACUGUGGGGACGCAGGAGGAUAGGGAAACCGGGGAAUGGAAAGACCCGGUCAAGCGUAAAGCUGUGGGAGAUAGGCAAAUCCGUCUCCUGUAAGUGAAACGUGAUGAGGACUGAAAAAAAGUAAGGAAGUUUCCGAAUCCACACUGCCGAGAAAAGCCGCUAUUGCGUUAUGUGUACCCGUACCGUAAACCGACACAGGUAGAUGAGGAGAAAAUCCACAGGCCGACGGGAGAAGUGUUGUUAAGGAACUCGGCAAAAUGACCCCGUAACUUCGGGAUAAGGGGAGCCUCGCAAGAGGCCGCAGAAAAGAGGCACAAGCAACUGUUUAGCAAAAACAUAGGUCUAUGCGAAACCGUAAGGUGAAGUAUAUGGGCUGACGCCUGCCCGGUGCUGGAAGGUUAAAAGGAGAGGUCAGCGCAAGCGAAGCUUUGAAUUCAAGCCCCAGUAAACGGCGGCCGUAACUAUAACGGUCCUAAGGUAGCGAAAUUCCUUGUCAGGUAAGUUCUGACCCGC